CGCACACACACACGAAGGAGGUACCCAAAAGUAAUCGGAAGCGUUCUCUGCGGGACAAUCCCAUUUUAGUUCAGGCUUCCGUUGCUAGAAGCCAGUUGAUUCGAACCUCAG